rnacentral:rRNA from 1 species
UAGAGGAAGUAAAAGUCGUAACAAGGUUUCCGUAGGUGAACCUGCGGAAGGAUCAUUAUCGAACUCUGAAAGCGGGCUGUUGCUGGCUGAGCGCAUGUGCACGCCUGUUUUUCUUUGCUUCUCCAACUGUGCACAAAUAUCGUAGACCUUUAGCAAGGCCUAUGUUUUUCACAACCUCUUUUGAAUGUAUCAGAAUGGAUUUGGAUUAUAAUAUUGCAUAUACAACUUUCAGCAACGGAUCUCUUGGCUCUCGCAUCGAUGAAGAACGCAGCGAAAUGCGAUAAGUAAUGUGAAUUGCAGAAUUCAGUGAAUCAUCGAAUCUUUGAACGCAUCUUGCGCUCCUUGGUAUUCCGAGGAGCAUGCCUGUUUGAGUGUCAUUUGAACCUUCUCAAGCCCCCCCUGCUCUCUUCAGAGAGUGGUGGCUUGGAAAAUGGGGGAAGGUUUGCAGGACCGCAAAGUCCUGCUCCCCUGAAAUGCAUCAGCGGUGUCUUGGCAGACGACCAGGGUGUGAUACAAACAUCAGCGCCAUGGGGCUGCAGAUUUUGCCACCGCUUUUCCAAUCUUUUGACCAACUUGACCUCAAAUCAGGUAGGACUACCCGCUGAACUUAAGCAUAUCAAUAAGCGGAGGAAAAAGAAACUAACAAGGAUUCCCCUAGUAACUGCGAGUGAAGCGGGAAAAGCUCAAAUUUGAAAUCUGGCAGCUGACAGCUGUCCGAGUUGUAAUCUAGAGAAGUGUUGCCUGUGCUGGACCAUGUACAAGUCUUCUGGAACGGAGCGUCGUAGAGGGUGAGAAUCCCGUCUUUGACAUGGACUGCCUGCGCGCUGUGGCACGCUCUCGAAGAGUCGAGUUGUUUGGGAAUGCAGCUCAAAACGGGUGGUAAAUGCCAUCUAAAGCUAAAUAUUGGCGAGAGACCGAUAGCGAACAAGUACCGUGAGGGAAAGAUGAAAAGAACUUUGGAAAGAGAGUUAAACAGUACGUGAAAUUGCUGAAAGGGAAACGCUUGAAGUCAGCCACGUCGGCUAGAAAUCAGCCUCGCUUCUGCCUGGCGCACUUUCUGGUCGAUGGGUCAGCAUCAAUUUUGACCGCUGGAUAAAGUCUCUGGGAAUGUGGCAUCCUCUUUUGGAUGUGUUAUAGCCCACCGUCGCAUGCAGUGGUCGGGAUUGAGGAACUCAGCACGCCCUGCGAGGGGCCAGGCUUCGGCCAUGUUCGUGCUUAG